rfam:Oryza sativa (indica cultivar-group) chromosome 1, whole genome shotgun sequence.
AUACCUUUCUCGGCCUUUUGGCUAAGAUCAAGUGUAGUAUCUGUUCUUAUCAAUUUAAUGUCUGAUAUGUGGGCUAUGUGCCUACUUUGAUAUUAAAUUAAUUUAUUUUGGGGAAGGGUACUGGGUCUGACACACCCCAACCAAAUCGAACACAAACUUUUUGAUGCUUAAUCUGAUUUGAAUGCUU